rnacentral:tRNA from 1 species
AGCCCCGUGGGGUAGUGGUCAAUCCUGGGGGACUCUGGAUCCCCUGACCCCGGUUCGAAUCCGGGCGGGGCUA